rnacentral:lncRNA from 1 species
GGAAUCCCCGCAGGCGCUGGGUCUGCAGAUGGCGUCCAGGUACACAGUGGCGAGUGUGAUUCCGCAGUCUUGGGCUGUUUGGCCAAGCGCCCGCCGGACAUGGUACGCCGAAGGGUCAUCGGCGUGGAGUCCUCGCUUUCAGCGUCCGCGGCUGGGAAAUCGGCCAUCGCUACGGCGGGAACUGGGACUCGGGCUGCGUCCCGGCCCUUCCACAUCGGUCCACCGCACUCGUGGGCGCCCGCAUUGGUGCUGACAUAAUUUCCUGACCUCUGACCCGUAUUGUCUCGCGAUUAAAGGUCCAGAUUUGGAACAAAUCUCUCUAGAGAUUGAACAGAGCUGCGCCUGGAUCCCUCAGCAGUGAGGAGACCUGAAGACCAGAGGAAACACAGCAAGGGCUCACCAGAGAAGACAGGGCAAGGUGAGGGGGAUCUCCUAGCAGAGGAAACAACAUGCGCCAAUCAAGCAAAGAUAUUUUUGUGCAUUCAAGGAACACAGAGAGGAAAGACAGUGGCAGAUGGAGACGUAUAAAGCAGGGAUCCUGUUAUGAAAAGCCCUAAAAAAUAGGGUAUAGAGUUUGGGCCAUAUUUCAGAGGUAAUAAGAAAGCAUUCUGCAUUUUUAAAGUAAGGUUUAAAAAUGUUUCUAAUUAGAGAUACAGCAAAGUUGGUGUGAGAGGAUAAAGACUGAUAUACAUAAUCUGAGGAGUUCAUGAAAAUUCCAUGUAAAGCCUGUAGUAUGAAUUGGUCCUAGGAGACAGACAGCUUCAGGGGCAUAGAGAACUUUAAGCACUUUUCCAAGAAGAGUGAAGGGCUGGAGAAUAAAUUGUGAACUAAAAUAUAUUUUGUGUUUGAGAACAUGAAGUACUUGAGAGUGAUUAUUACACGGUUUUAAGAAAAAACUAGUUCUUUUAAAUAAAACUUUUUUUUAGCUGAGCACAGUGGCUCACGCCUGUAAUCCCAGCACUUUGGGAGGCCGAGGCAGGCGGAUCACCUGAGGUCGGGAGUUCGAGAUCAGCCUGAC